ACUCCUACGGGAGGCAGCAGUGGGGAAUCUUGGACAAUGGGCGCAAGCCUGAUCCAGCCAUGCCGCGUGAGUGAAGAAGGCCCUAGGGUCGUAAAACUCUUUCGCCAGGGAUGAUAAUGACAGUACCUGGUAAAGAAACCCCGGCUAACUCCGUGCCAGCAGCCGCGGUAAUACGGAGGGGGUUAGCGUUGUUCGGAAUUACUGGGGCGUAAAGCGUACGUAGGCGGAUUAGUCAGUCAGAGGUGAAAUCCCAGGGGCUCAACCCUGGAACUGCCUUUUGAUACUGCUAGUCUUGAGUUCGAGAGAGGUGAGUGGAAUUCCAAGUGUAGAGGUGAAAUUCGUAGAUAUUUGGAGGAACACCAGUGGCGAAGGCGGCUCACUGGCUCGAUACUGACGCUGAGGUACGAAAAGUGUGGGGAGCAAACAGGAUUAGAUACCCUGGUAGCGACUGA
rnacentral:rRNA from 1 species